rnacentral:lncRNA from 1 species
UUGUAUGUAAUAGCAGUGUUACUUCCUUUCAACAUUGAUCUUCAUCAAAGGUCUUAUUCUCAAAUCUGAUCAAAUUUCUGUUCCUCCAUAGUAAUGCAACAGUGGUCACAAAUGCUGUUGCAGUGACCUCUUUCUUCCAACUUUUACUCUUAGCAUUGUUACAUAUCCAUUUCAGUUCAGUCUCCCAGCAUACUAUAGUUCUAGCAUGUCCCAACCAUAGACAGAUUCUCCUCCAAACACUACUGGUAAUGACACAUUCAAAGAACAAAUGUUUAAACUCUUCCUCA